ACCAUGCCAUCAUCAGUGGCCCUGUCCCUCUCGAAGAUCAGAGCAACCAUCAGCCUUAGUCUGCGUUGGAGACGUACAAACUUGUGGAAACCUCCUGUCUCAGAUGAUGAACCCAAGGCAGAGGGAGCUGGAGGUGUGUGUUCCCGUUCAGCAGGAGAGACUUGAUUGUUCACAUUAGCCCUUAUCUGAGACAAUUGUCUCAGCUGAAGGAGCACCAGGGAAACUGAGGCACAGUGCGAAAGUGCAGAGGUCUCUGUCCAAGAGGAUGGAAGGCUUCUAUAGCGAGAGCAGUAAUUCACUGAGCUCCUGGUAUGGGCGAUGUCUUGGUUUCACACCUGAUCUGUGCAGUUCCCAGUAAGGCUCUUCUGCUCCCUGGGACAGUUUGGACCACCAGCUUGUGCUCCCUAUG